GCACGGAAGCGCCCCGCGAUCAGCGGCUUCUCCACAGUCAGGCCCCGCUGCACGGCCGGUCCGUGCCGCCCGUGGGCCUAUGGGCCGGGCCGAGACAAGCCCUUACCCUGCGGGACGGCCCUGGGUCGGCUCGUAUAAACGUGUGGUUGUAGGUGUUGGUACUCGUGGAAGUGACACCCACAAAAUACCCUUCUGCUGUUUGGUACAGGUGUGAUCUGGCUGGGCAGCAAAGCAGCCUGUCCCCUUCCAGGACCCACCAGGAGCCCCAGUUCAGUCUGUGCUGGUGGAGGAGGCUGUAAAUCCUUCCAUCUGAGCAGAACAUACCUUCUGAAGAUUUUAAAUCAUGAUAGCCAACAAGACUGAGCAGACUUUGAAGAAACAGCAGACCAUGCGAGCUGAAGAGUUGCAAUAGGUUUUCAGAGAACCGAAUCCUUGCACAUCCUUCAGCUGAAGAGUUUGGUCCAGGUUUUGUGCAUCAAACAAACUUCAAUGAAGUUAUUCUUGCUUCGCACAAGUGGUGACUGGGCUGCUCAGGAUUGAAGAUUAUUAUUACGCCAUGAGAAUCCUUCAUAAGAGCUGGCCAGCAUGUUUCAAACCUUGAAAAAGAGGAGCAUGGAAAAUGGUAAGACUGAUAGCUGGAAAAUGGAAACAUGCAGUCAAACUUGGCAAAGUUUUCUUCUCCCCACCUCAACAAUGUACCUUGGUGGAUGCUCCAUCCCUGAAGACACUCAAGGUCAGGCUGGAUGGAGCUCUGAGCACAUGAUGGAGCUGUGGGUGUCCCUGUUCACAGAUGGCCAUUAAAGGUCCCUUCAAACUCAUACAAUUCUAUGACUUUAUGAUUUCAGUAGCUUUUUGUGAAAAUAAUGUUAGUGAUCUCGCCAAUAUCUAUGAUAUUCCAAAUAAACCUUCUUACUUAUUCCUAAAAACUAAUCUGUCCAGUUCAGAACUGUAAUCCCGGGAAAUUAAAGGCCUCCAUCAUAUAAAUACAUUA